CGUCCGUUGGUCGUGCCUGAUGCUGGGCAGACCAGCCUGGGUGGGCCUCUUGAGUGUGCCAGUCUGGUCUAAUGAGAUAAGAUUGGGGCACAUGAGUGCAGCGACUGGGGGUUAUAACUGGCGUAGCAAACCCUGGCUCCCACACUCAGAACGUGGCUGCCACGUGCGUUUUCCUGGAGGGCUGCAGACGGACAUCUAUUCACCUCAGAAAAUGCACUGACAGAAAAUCAAAGAAAUGGUCCAGUUAAGUCCAGCCUUGUGAACCAACGAACAAGCCUCAUAAGCUUCCCCACUCCCUCCAGGAUGUCACUGUCAGCCUCGGUAAGGCACAGUCCUUGAGACUCUACAGGCUUGCUAUCUGCCUGGCCAGGUGCUGCCUGUGUUGGGAGAGAAAGAUCGAACCUGGUCCCGACUCACAGGAGUCAGACGAGAGGAGGAAGCCUUUGCAUCUGCUGAACCGUGCUCCCCAGUGACUGCAUUUUGCCUCUCUAGGGUGAAUGCAGCUUCAAGGGCCUGUCUUUGUGGGUGUGCCCCUCCUGGGACCCAUCCUGAUUUGCAUGUUCACUCCUAAUGAGCCGUCCGGUUGGUGUGAGGAUGACAGGAAGCUGUCGUGGUGUCCACCCCACAAGGUCAUAUUACCUGUGUGGGCAACCAUCUACUCUGUCAUGGGCUAUGCCUCCUACCUUGUGUGGAAGGACCUGGGAGGGGGCUUCCGGUGGCCCCUAGCACUGCCCCUUGGCCUCUACACUUUCCAACUCACCCUCAGCUGGACCUUCUUGAUGCUCUUCUUGACAGCCAGCAACCCUGGGCUGGCCCUCCUGGACCUGCUGCUGCUCUAUGGGCUGGUGGCAAGCAUGGUGCUCAUCUGGCAGCCGAUCAACAAGCUGGCCGCUCUGCUCCUACUGCCCUACCUGGCCUGGCUCACUGUGACUACUGCCAUCACCUACCGCCUGUGGAGGGACAGCCUAUGUCCAGCGUACCAGCCUUAGCCAUCAAGACGAGCAGCUGAGGCUCCAGGGAACAGGAGAGCGGGGAGGUGGGAAGGUAGAUCACACUGUCUUGGUCCUCGAUGAGUCAGAAAUCAGAUGGAGUUCAACCUCACCCAUGGAUUAAUCUGUGGACUACAGGAGUGGGGACAACUAGUCAGAAGGAGUUGGUCACUGCGAGCUCCCGCCCCUCGCUGUCUCCCUCCCCGCCCCUGCACGAGGCGAGCAGCCUUCACCACCACACACUGCUGCCACGAUGUUCAGCUUCACCAUGGGCCCGUGGUAACGGAGCCGGCCAGCCACACGCCGAAGCCUCCAAAGCAGAGAGCCAAAAGCGGCCUGCUCCCCUUUGAAGUUGACUUCACAGGUGUUUCCUCGGGUGAUGGAAGCUAAUUAAUACUCGGAAUCCAGCUCGAUCGUUCAUUAACUUGGCCAGCAUGACUUCACAGCAGCCGGCCUUCACACUCUCAUCUGUAAAACUGGGAUCUCGCGGCUUAGAGGAGAAGAGCGAAUGGAACUAUGGGGGAAAGAGAGUGAGGCGCAGGGAGAGGAUUCAAUCGAUGCCAGUCUCUCUAGCACAGAACUCAGGAAGCACCAUUUAAUAAGCAGCCAGAGUUUAGCUACUGUGCCAGGUUGCUCAGAGGCCCCCGCUGGACUUCCCAAACCUCCUAACAGCCAGGAGUCACCUCCUCAAGAGUCGCCUCCUCAGACUGGGGAGCCAGCCUGACUGUCAGGACCAAAAUGGCUGGCUUUGGAUGGUCUACAUUUGUGUGGGUUUGUCUGUAUGCCAGGAGAGCUAUUAAAACCAGGACUGGGGCUAGCUCAGUAGUGAGGACCUGCCUAGCAUGAAGCCAGGAAAAUCCCACCCAAGGCACUGAAAAUCAAACAACUUUGUUUUGCUUGUUGCUUUAUUAUACAUGUAACUUAUUAAAGAGCUAUUGAUUUGAAUGUA